GCUGUCCAGAAGGACUCAGGGUUUAGCCAGCAGCAGGGACACAGCUGGGGUUUGACUGAAGCAGGUCUGUGAGCCAGGUUUCUGUUCCAUUCCCAGCUCUGGAUGUGACAGGCCUGGGUGUCCCAGCCACAGCACACACAGGGAGCUGCCCUGACCAAGGCUGGCAUGGAGCACACUGCUGUUUGCACUAAAAGCCAGGGGUCACACACAUCACCUCAAGAUCCAAUGUGGGAAAUGGAUCUAUAGAAAAUUCUCACAGCCUGACAGAAGGCUCACCAGUGUCCAUCUGUAUGCAAACUUUGAAAUAAGAAAUGCUGACUGAGAAAUGCCAUGGAAUAGGACAGACAUUGUUGAGAAAGAAACAGAACCAGGGUUCCAUUCUGGUUCAAUCCACCAGCCACCCAGCCUAAGGGAUUGUCCUAAACCAGGAAUGUUUGCUAGAGCUGCCACACCUCACAGCUCCUGUGCCAGACCAGGUAUUUGGGAGUGUUUACUGAAGUCAAGAGUCACAUAUUCCCAAAGAAGAGGGAAGCACACCCUGCAGUACACAUGACUGGUUUUUUUCCCAUCUUUUUCCAGCCUAGUUCUAAACCUGCCAGACAAUAGAGCACCAUACAUGGAACUGGAGAGUACUGGUAAUCUCUUCCCUUAUCAAGACACAGGAACUGAUGAUUCAGAAAUCCCCCACUGGUACACAGCUCCUGAUAGAAGAUGGACAAUACGUGAGACUAAAUCUACAGCACUGCACAGAAAAGGAGAAUCCCAAAGAAAUCCUCAUGAAACUGCCUGGUAGAGACCAAGCCCACCCUUGUUGGUACCUCCUCUGGCAUCUGCUGUUACAUUAAAAUAUUACAGAGUCCCCCA